UUACAGAACUCAUGUAGAUCUGGUCAAUCCCUCAUGGUCCUCGUCGCCGGCUAUCGGCUUCGGAGAAGAAACUAUCCAACCCCAUGGGAGAAAUCAAGGUGCAAAAGCUCGUCCUCAACAUCUCCGUCGGCGAGAGUGGCGAUCGUCUCACCAGAUCCGCAAAAGUGUUGGAGCAACUUAGUGGCCAAACCCCAGUGUAGAAAGCUGACCUUUUAGAAAGUUGUUUGCUACUGCACUUUUGUGGCUGCAGUAUAUGAUAGGCGUUUUGAUCCGUGUCUGUGUCCUGGAUGCAAGCUGCAUUUGCCUGUGAUUUCAGUAUUAAGGAUUAUGAUAAAAUUGUGGCCUUGGUUUGUUGUGUGUUACAACUUAAAACCUUGUUUGGAAAGUCACCCAACAACCUUGCUACAAUAUUUCCUAAUAGGUAUUGAAGCUGGUUGCAGGUAUUAAAGCUAAAACAAAUGAGAUGGGAACUAAGGUUGUAGAGAAAGGAAGAUAGUGUCAAAAUGCAAAUUAUUAUGUUAAUGGAUACCUUCCAAUUCAUCAUGAUUGCAGAGU